UGGAGAUGGUGCCUGGACUGUUCAGGACAGUUCUCGGCAGCAGUGAACUAAGUUCAUUUUUAACCAUUGUAUCUGUAAACAAAAGACUUGAACAGGGUUGAAACAGCACUUUGAUGUAAUAUUUCUGUCAGGACCUUGAGAUCCCCUUUGGAUAAUCUAAUUUUCAUAUAAUUGAUAUUCGGAUAAUUAAGGUUCCUUUAUAGAUGUGUCAGAGAGGGUGCAGAGAAG